UACGAAGGGGGGCUAGCGUUGCUCGGAUUCAUUGGGCGUAAAGGGUGCGUAGGCGGUGAGGUAAGUCUGGUGUGAAAUCCCGGGGCUCAACCCCGGAACUGCACUGGAUACUGCCUUACUUGAGCACUGGAGAGGGAACUGGAAUUUACGGUGUAGCAGUGAAAUGCGUAGAUAUCGUAAGGAAGACCAGCGGCGAAGGCGAGUUCCUGGACAGUUGCUGACGCUGAGGCACGAAGGCCAGGGGAGCAAACAGG
rnacentral:rRNA from 1 species